ensembl:lncRNA
AGUAAACCAUUCUCUGUUCCCAGCUCUGAUGUUUUGGUGCUGUUUGACCUCCCUGUGCAUCAGUUGCCAAGUCGUGUCCAGAUGUGAUGAGCUGACUCAUUGAAAAAGACCUUGAUGCUGGGAAAGACUGAGGGCAAGAGGAGAAGGGUGCAACAGAGGAUGAGAUGGUUGGAUGGCAUCAUCAACUCAAUGGACCAAAGCCUCCAAGGAGCAGAGCUUGUUUGCCGAACUGUGAAAGCUAAUAGGCACCCCCGAUGGAGCCACUAGACAGCAGAGUGCUGAGAAGUUUCGGGGUGAACUUGAGCGAGGAGCCUGUGCCUGCUUCCAGUCGAGAGAUUGCCCAUGACAGCAGGGCUUGAGGGGCCAUGGUGCACAGGGGUGGAACUAAGAUGGGGCGACUCCAGGGCAAGCUCUGCUCUCACUGCAGUUAGAAGGUGAAGACACCACCUCUUCUUACAGCUCUGCAUGGAAAAGCACGGAGGUCAGCUUCUAAGAAGGAGCUGUAGGACUUGUCCAGGAGGCCACUGGCUCACACAACAGGGUGUCCAACCUGGAAAAGUCAUUGUCACUUUGAAUUGCUGUUGGUGCCAGAAAGAGACAUAGCUACCCUUCUGGGAGAAGUCAUUCUCAUUGGAGAGGGACAGGGGAAAGCUCAACACAGUCAGCUUUGUGGUGGUCACUGGGGCAACAGAGGUGAUCAGCAUCACAUGGAGCCACCAGGAACCAGUAAUGCCAGAGAUACUUCGCCAGCAGUAAUGUGUAGACAUUCAGGGCUGCAGUCACCCGAAGGCUCAACUGAGGCUGGAGGAUCCACGUCUAAGGUGCCUGGAAGACUGGUUCAUGGAUCAGAAGUAAUAAGCUCCGUAUAGUUCAUGAGUAUGUUGUCCUGUUCAUUUUUCAGGUAAGUCCUAUUUAAAUCCUCGUUGUCGAAAUAAUAGUUGUUAUUUUUAUCACGAUUUGUAUCUGAUACAUUUUGAUUUGGCCUCCACAUAAUCUGAACAUUCUGUUAUAAAUUGAGGCUGUAAUGUUACAAACAAUGCCAUUUCAAAGAUGAGUUAUUAAAUGUUACGUGGGAAAAUGUUUUGAGCAAAUUAUCAGUUUAUUCCAUUUGCAAAAUAUUGGUUUGGGAUCAUAAACAUGAUUAUGUUCAUGGAAAGAACAAAGGGGGAAAGAAUUUCAAGAACUCCUCUCAGUGAUUUUAAUUAUCUGAUAGAUAAGAAAGCUACCUCUAGAGCAC